AGGAAAUUACAUAAUCAAAACAAGCGGUGAGUAUUCUGGGUGAAGAAGAAAGAGAGGGUGAGUCGCGAAAUUACGGUAAGCGAAUUGGGAAAGUAGAUCUGAAAUUCAAAAGUGAUGUUGGAGAGAGAGAGUGGUUCGAUUAUUGAAUUAUUUUCUUACAUAUUAUUUUAUGAUAUAUCGCUUAGUUAGAGUUGGGAUAGUGACCGGUUAGUUAGAGUUAGAAGAUA
rnacentral:lncRNA from 1 species